AGGAUUCCCCUAGUAACUGCGAGUGAAGCGGGAAGAGCUCAAAUUUCGAAUCUGGCGGUCUCUGGCCGUCCGAGUUGUAAUCUAGAGAAGCGUCUUCCGCGCCGGCGCCGUGUACAAGUCUCCUGGAAGGGAGCGUCGUAGAGGGUGAGAAUCCCGUCUUUGACACGGAUCGGCCGGUGCUAUGUGAUGCGCUCUCGACGAGUCGAGUUGUUUGGGAAUGCAGCUCAAAACGGGUGGUAAACUCCAUCUAAAGCUAAAUACGGGCGAGAGACCGAUAGCGAACAAGUACCGUGAGGGAAAGAUGAAAAGAACUUUGGAAAGAGAGUUAAACAGUACGUGAAAUUGCUGAAAGGGAAACGCUUGAUGUCAGUCGCGUUCGCCGGGGAUCAACCUUGCUUCUCGCUCGGUGUACUUCCCGGCGGACGGGUCAGCGUCGGUCUCGCUCGCCGUACAAGGGCGAAGGGAACGUGGCACCCUUCGGGGUGUGUUAUAGCCCUUCGUCGCAUGCGCCGGUCGGGACCGAGGAUCUCAGCACGGCCUUUCAGGUCUGUCGCUCAGGACGCUGGCAUAAUGGCCUUAAGCGACCCGUCUUGAAACACGGACCAAGGAGUCUAACAUGCCUGCGAGUGUUCGGGUGGCAAACCCGGGCGCGCAAUGAAAGUGAAA
rnacentral:rRNA from 1 species